ACAGAAAUCUUAUCUGGAAAUAAUCGGUUAGACCUGUAAAUGGUAAACAAAAUUCUUUCCCCACAGGCUGUUCAAAGAAGCUUGUAGUAUUUGUGUUGCACAUGCAUACAUUAUCAACCUUUCAUUUUGUUUUAACUUUAUUCAUUUUCUCAUUUAUUUGUAGGCAUCUUUUUUUAACAUCUUUCGUCAAAGAAGUGGAUUCAAAGCACAUUGUGGCCUCAGUAUAUUGAUGUGAAACCAUGCAGAAAAUGCUACUUUCUCUCAACCUUGUGGAUGUUCCCUACUUCCCUAAGGAUUAGCAGCCUCUUGAAACAGGUGAAGCCAUUAUCGAAUUCCUUGCGUCUAUGUUCCUUGGAUCUGAAAACAGUGCAUAAUGCAGGAGAUUCCACCCAAAAGCUAACCCACAAGUCCAAGCUGAAGUGGAAUAUUUCGCAAAAUUUGAUCUACACUCACCCGAUAGCUUUACUGCUAGAGAAAGGUUAUUUUUUCACUUCAUUAUACUUUAUAGAGAGAGAUUGGGGGAGGGGGAGGGGUGAGGUGUAGCCACAAACCUGAAUGGAUAAGCUGUAGAACUGAAAUUUCCAGUCAUGUUACUUGCAAUUUUAAUGAAUUACAGGAUUUACGAACUGACAUAAUAACGAUUUGGGUAAAAGUCUAAAAGAUUCCAGUAUUUUGAGGAUAUUUGUAAUUACUAUUCAUGAAGUUGACCUGUUUCAUAAUGUCUCAUGCUCACCCCCCUCCCCCCACCCCAUCCACUUCAUAUCAGUUCUUAAAACAUGUUGCAAAUUAUAUAUACAUUGUAAGUUGGUAAUAGAGAAAAAUUGAGUGAGGUAAAUGCAAUACAAAUCGAAUCCAUUAUUAAGCAAUUAAGACUUGUUCAGGUACGGCACGUGAACCUCCAACAAAUUUCAAAAAUGAUGCAGUUUGGUUUUAUGUGUAAAGUGAAUGGCAACAAAGGACCUACCGGUGCGUGUCUUUGUAUGUUUCGGACUGCGCAAAUUCAGUGAGCUCUUUUUAAUAAUAUACACUAUGUAAAGCGUAUUGAACUCUAUGU